rnacentral:rRNA from 1 species
UACGUAGGGUGCGAGCGUUAAUCGGAAUUACUGGGCGUAAAGCGUGCGCAGGCGGUUUUGUAAGCCAGAUGUGAAAGCCCCGGGCUUAACCUGGGAAUGGCAUUUGGGACUGCAAGGCUUGAGUGCGGCAGAGGAGACUGGAAUUCCUGGUGUAGCAGUGAAAUGCGUAGAUAUCAGGAGGAAAACCGAUGGCGAAGGCAGGUCUCUGGGCUGACACUGACGCUCAUGCACGAAAGCGUGGGGAGCAAACAGG